rnacentral:rRNA from 1 species
GACGAACGCUGGCGGCGUGCUUAACACAUGCAAGUCGAACGGAAAGGCCCUGCUCUUGUGGGGUGCUCGAGUGGCGAACGGGUGAGUAACACGUGAGUAACCUGCCCUUGACUUUGGGGUAACUUCAGGAAACUGGGGCUAAUACCGGAUAGGAGCUCCUGCUGCAUGGUGGGGGUUGGAAAGUUUCGGCGGUUGGGGAUGGACUCGCGGCUUAUCAGCUUGUUGGUGGGGUAGUGGCUUACCAAGGCUUUGACGGGUAGCCGGCCUGAGAGGGUGACCGGCCACGUUGGGACUGAGAUACGGCCCAGACUCCUACGGGAGGCAGCAGUGGGGAAUAUUGCACAAUGGGCGGAAGCCUGAUGCAGCAACGCCGCGUGCGGGAUGACGGCCUUCGGGUUGUAAACCGCUUUCGCCUGUGACGAAGCGUGAGUGACGGUAAUGGGUAAAGAAGCACCGGCUAACUACGUG